rnacentral:rRNA from 1 species
UCUACGGGAGGCAGCAGUGAGGAAUAUUGGUCAAUGGACGAGAGUCUGAACCAGCCAAGUAGCGUGAAGGAUGACUGCCCUAUGGGUUGUAAACUUCUUUUAUAAAGGAAUAAAACGAGGCACGUGUGCCUUUUUGCAUGUACUUUAUGAAUAAGGAUCGGCUAAAUCCGUGCCAGCAGCCGCGGUAAUACGGAGGAUCCGAGCGUUAUCCGGAUUUAUUGGGUUUAAAGGGGGGGUAGAUGGGUUGUUAAGUAAGUGGUGAAAGUUUGCGGCUAAACCGUAAAAUUGCAAUUGAUACUGGAAGUUUUGAGUACAGUUGAGGUAGGCGGAAUUCGGGGUGUAGCGGUGAAAUGCUUAGAUAUAACGAAGAACCCCGAUUGCGAGGCAGCUUACUAAACUGUGACUGACAUUGAUGCUCGAAAGUGUGGGUAUCAAACAGGAUUAGAUACCCCAGUAGUC